rnacentral:ncRNA from 2 species
CAGGUAGUUUCAUGUUGUUGG